rnacentral:lncRNA from 1 species
CCGGCGCCGUGUCCACCGGCUUGGGCAGACGCGCCUGGGCAUUCUUCACGCGGAGCACGGCACGCGGCGUCUUGGCUAACUUUCACCGGCCCCUUCGCCAGCCCCGUACAAGAUAGAAAAAUAAACGGCAAAGCACCCUCGUAAGUCCCUGUGGACCUGGUUUGGGUUCAAGAAUCCUGUCCAGAUGUGAUGUCCAGAGUUUUUCUAAAGUCCUUAUUUUGUUUUGUUUCUGUCCAGAUCUUGAGGACAGAGAAUUAGGAUGGAUGGAGUCUCAUCUCAGAAGCUGAUGUCUCAGAGCUGUGCUGGAUCUGCUUCAGAGAACAUGAUCUAUUGCUUUUCCCUGUCCAGCUGAUCUCUCGACCGGGCUAGAGAAGGAGAGAUGUGAUUGUAGAGACAGACAGACACACAGAGAGAGAGAGAGACAGGGAGAAAAGGUUCUUACUAUUCUAGCAGUCUGAGGCUGAUUCACUUCAUUCAGUGCUGAGCUCUUUGUGGAGACAAAAAGUGGGAGGAGACACCCGAGAGCUGUUGCUGGGAUUCAGGAUACUGGCCAAUCACAGGCCGGAUGUCAGGAUGUGGGCAUGGCCACUGUCUACAGGCACAAUAGCUGUGAAUAUCUUUCAUCCUUCACAGACAUCGACCGUCUCGCUCUCUCCCCGCUAACACGGUGAAGUGGGAAUCUUGAAACAUUGGGAAGCGGAUAGAUUUCAGAUGAGCGGGACCCUGGGGAAGGGGCCGUCUCAUGGUGAUGACAUCUAAAGUGCGAGACACCAAUGAAACCUGACAGAUGCUGAGAGUAAAAAGUGAACACAAGUUUGUGUGUGAAAGAGGGAACAUGUAGGAAAAAAGACAGCUAAAUUAGGGCAGGAUUCUUCUCUCCCUUCCAGAAACAACAUGUACUUGCAACAGUUGACACCCCUUCUGUUCAAACCCAUGGCAGAAACCCAUUAUCAUGCUGUAAAUACUCCAGAAGAGGCUGAUGCCUGCACAAUCCAAGUGGAAGUAACAGCUUUUUCCUGCAAGGAGACUGAACACAUACUUUGGGAUUAGAGACAUAACAGCAGAUGACAACAGCAGACAUAAACCCACCAUCACGACCAUGGCUGACUGAUCCCCGUAAACAUGAAACAGACGGGCCCUCUCCAAGGAAGUGGAUGCAAGAGGCCAACCUCGAUAGAGCAUCUUGUGGCACUUGGAGCCGUUUAGUUCAAUGAAUCAUGGGUGAUUUCAGGUAAGGGUUACUCCACCCCAAAAUGAAAAUUUUGUCAUUAAUUACUCACCCUCAUGUCGUUCCAAACCCAUAAGACCUCCGUUCAUGUUCGGAACACAAAUAUAGAUAUAUUUGAUGCACUCUGACAGCUCUCUGACCCUUCCAUAGACAGCAAUGUAAUUAGAAACAUAGACAAGGACAUCGGUAAAUAAUCCAUGUGACAUCAGUGGUUCAACCGAAUUUUACGACGCUACGAGAAUACUUUUGUACGCAAAGAAAACAAAAGUAACAACUUUAUUCAACAAUUCGUCUCCUCUGUGUCACCUUAGCACCAGUUUGGAGAGUAUCCACUGAAUGCAAACAGUGUAUACAACACAGAUGUUGUUUUCAUUCAAAAUCAAAGCGUAAAUAAAAUGUAGAAAAAUGUAUCUGUAUGGUGCGGCUGACACAGAUGACAAAAUAAUCGAUAUUACAAACAUAAAUCGCAAAUAUUACUAAAUAUAGCAUUAAAAAUAUAAAAGUUACUUGCUUUUAUAAAGAAUCACUGUCCAACAGCGACACCUGCAGGUAAAGUUAUAGCCGAGGCAUGCCUCCCUUCAGUCCAUAGAUUUACAACAGAGACCCCUUAGUGUGCCGUGACUUUUCUGGGUUGUAAUUGAGAAUGAAU